AUUGAACGCUGGCGGCAGGCUUAACACAUGCAAGUCGAGCGGGGUGAUGGUGCUUGCACUAUCACUUAGCGGCGGACGGGUGAGUAAUGCUUAGGAAUCUGCCUAUUAGUGGGGGACAACAUCUCGAAAGGGAUGCUAAUACCGCAUACGUCCUACGGGAGAAAGCAGGGGAUCACUUGUGACCUUGCGCUAAUAGAUGAGCCUAAGUCGGAUUAGCUAGUUGGUGGGGUAAAGGCCUACCAAGGCGACGAUCUGUAGCGGGUCUGAGAGGAUUAUCCGCCACACUGGGACUGGGACACGGCCCAGACUCCUACGGGAGGCAGCAGUGGGGAAUAUUGGACAAUGGGGGGAACCCUGAUCCAGCCAUGCCGCGUGUGUGAAGAAGGCCUUAUGGUUGUAAAGCACUUUAAGCGAGGAGGAGGCUCUUUUGGUUAAUACCCAAGAUGAGUGGACGUUACUCGCAGAAUAAGCACCGGCUAAUUCUGUGCCAGCCGCCGCCGUAA
rnacentral:rRNA from 1 species